UAGGGAAUCUUCGGCAAUGGGGGGAACCCUGACCGAGCAACGCCGCGUGAGUGAAGAAGGUUUUCGGAUCGUAAAGCUCUGUUGUUAAGGAAGAACGAGUGUGAGAAUGGAAAGUUCAUGCUGUGACGGUACUUAACCAGAAAGCCACGGCUAACUACGUGCCAGCAGCCGCGGUAAUACGUAGGUGGCAAGCGUUGUCCGGAUUUAUUGGGCGUAAAGCGAGCGCAGGCGGUCAAUUAAGUCUGAUGUGAAAGCCCCCGGCUCAACCGGGGAGGGUCAUUGGAAACUGGUUGACUUGAGUGCAGAAGAGGAGAGUGGAAUUCCAUGUGUAGCGGUGAAAUGCGUAGAUAUAUGGAGGAACACCAGUGGCGAAGGCGACUCUCUGGUCUGUAACUGACGUUGAGGCUCGAAAGCGUGGGGAGCGAACAGG
rnacentral:rRNA from 1 species